rnacentral:tRNA from 1 species
GGGGUAUUAGCUCAGUUGGUAGAGCGCUUGCUUCGCAUGUAAGAGGUCAGGGGUUCGACUCCCCUAUGCUCCACCA